rnacentral:rRNA from 1 species
UGUACACGAAGUGGUUGAUGCCAUGCUUCCAAGAAAAGCUUCUAAGCUUCAGGUAACCAGGAACCGUACCCCAAACCGACACAGGUGGUUGGGUAGAGAAUACCAAGGCGCUUGAGAGAACUCGGGUGAAGGAACUAGGCAAAAUGGCACCGUAACUUCGGGAGAAGGUGCGCCGGUGAGGGUGAAGCAUUUACUGCGUAAGCCCAUGCCGGUCGAAGAUACCAGGCCGCUGCGACUGUUUAUUAAAAACACAGCACUCUGCAAACACGAAAGUGGACGUAUAGGGUGUGACGCCUGCCCGGUGCCGGAAGGUUAAUUGAUGGGGUUAGCUAACGCGAAGCUCUUGAUCGAAGCCCCGGUAAACGGCGGCCGUAACUAUAACGGUCCUAAGGUAGCGAAAUUCCUUGUCGGGUAAGUUCCGACCUGCACGAAUGGCGUAACGAUGGCGGCGCUGUCUCCACCCGAGACUCAGUGAAAUUGAAAUCGCUGUGAAGAUGCAGUGUAUCCGCGGCUAGACGGAAAGACCCCGUGAACCUUUACUAUAGCUUUGCACUGGACUUUGAAUUUGCUUGUGUAGGAUAGGUGGGAGGCUUUGAAGCGUGGACGCCAGUUCGCGUGGAGCCAACCUUGAAAUACCACCCUGGCAACUUUGAGGUUCUAACUCAGGUCCGUUAUCCGGAUCGAGGACAGUGUAUGGUGGGUAGUUUGACUGGGGCGGUCUCCUCCUAAAGAGUAACGGAGGAGUACGAAGGUGCGCUCAGACCGGUCGGAAAUCGGUCGUAGAGUAUAAAGGCAAAAGCGCGCUUGACUGCGAGACAGACACGUCGAGCAGGUACGAAAGUAGGUCUUAGUGAUCCGGUGGUUCUGUAUGGAAGGGCCAUCGCUCAACGGAUAAAAGGUACUCCGGGGAUAACAGGCUGAUACCGCCCAAGAGUUCAUAUCGACGGCGGUGUUUGGCACCUCGAUGUCGGCUCAUCACAUCCUGGGGCUGAAGCCGGUCCCAAGGGUAUGGCUGUUCGCCAUUUAAAGUGGUACGCGAGCUGGGUUUAGAACGUCGUGAGACAGUUCGGUCCCUAUCUGCCGUGGACGUUUGAGAUUUGAGAGGGGCUGCUCCUAGUACGAGAGGACCGGAGUGGACGAACCUCUGGUGUUCCGGUUGUCACGCCAGUGGCAUUGCCGGGUAGCUAUGUUCGGAAUAGAUAACCGCUGAAAGCAUCUAAGCGGGAAACUAGCCUCAAGAUGAGAUCUCACUGGGACCUUGAGUCCCCUGAAGGGCCGUCGAAGACUACGACGUUGAUAGGUUGGGUGUGUAAGCGCUGUGAGGCGUUGAGCUAACCAAUACUAAUUGCCCGUGAGGCUUGACUG